GAUGAAGUAUUUUAUAUACAAGCUAACUUUGUAAUCGAUGAUUUGACUUGACGGAAUAUUCGUAUACAAUUAUUGCGUUAAUUAAAAUUACAAUGCGUUUAAUGCUCGAGAACACGUAUUAAUUCGUAAAAAGGCUAACAAGAUUGUGAAUGAACGUGCUUAGAAUUUUCAGGAAUUGAUCACAGUGUUCAUAUGUUUUACGCGAAAUUACUUUGUAUAGGGGUGCAAAGGUGUCUUUAAAGGGUGGUGCUUGGUACCAGCAGCAAUAACGUACUCAAGAGGCGCGAAGAGGCAAUGUGAAACCCCAGGUGACUUUGUGUGUAACCGCAGGCAGCAAGUAGCCUAAAACAGAAUUCACACUUGAUCGAUGAAAUCAAAAUGUACACCACAAGUAAAUGUUUUCAUUAUUAUAUAUGGGCCGUACCCCGAGGGCCACUACACAUUAUUUUUAUUAUUAUUCCUCAAUAUCGUUUCGAUUGCCUCGCUAAACAUCUGCCAUGAUUAACCAUUGUUAACAAAUAAGAAGUCAAACAAUUUAUUUAUUCGGUAUAGCGGACCGGCCGUCGCUUCCAACUAAUGUAAAAUAACUAAUGUUAAAUACUAUUACGAUGGUAAAACGAGUUUUUCAAUCAUAUUGAUAUUAUUGGAUAACCACAAGUUGUUGAUUGCAUUGUAUUAUUAUACCUUUUAAAACCGAGACCAUUGAUAUAUUAUUUAUGUAUCGGUAACUCGGGUUCGACGUGUAUUACGGUUAAAUACCAUAAAAAAACCGUAUAUUGUAGUAAAUCGUUUCGAGUCGUUCGUUCCUAAUUACAUACAUCGGUUUUUUCUGGUGAGUGAUGAACGAAGCAACCCUCAACGCCUUUUAAUACAUUACGACAAAUAUGAACUAAUUUUUUCACUUUUCACGGAUAGUUAUUUGCCGACCAGAUAAUUUACAUAAUUUUCGAACGAAAAAUUAAUGUUUUUAUGAUAAACCGUUUUCAAUAAAUUUGUUUAGUCAAAUCAAUAGAGAAUUGCUGCUGUUUAUUUAAAAAAUAGUAAUCAUGUUUCUCAGCUUAUUAUUGCCAACUUUAUUUAUUAUGUCCGUUGUAACGUUUGUAGUAGUACGAGAUAGUUCUCGUAUAUAAUCGUACAAAUAAGCAUACAAAUUAAAAGAUAAUGGUUAUUGUGUCUUGGCAGCCAAUCGAAUAUGCAGCAUUUAAGUAUAAGCCAAGAUAACGACGAUCCAGUGCGAGUUAUAAUAAAUUACUUAAAACGAAGCACAUUGUUUUUAUUACAACCGAUGACCGUAAAUUAAAUUAAAUAAUGUAAAGUCGGUCGAUUCACUUCGGAGGCGUUAAAAAAGAAUAAAAGAAACAAAUAACAGACUCGCUUUAAAUAUAAUAUUUUAUUGUUUUUACAUUCUUCUCUUUCUUUUUCGCGUCUUGUUCUUUAACAAUAAUUUCGUAUAGCAAUGAUGUGUGCCAGCAAAUAGACGAGAGAGAGGCUAUAAAAGGUAUCCCGACCCGAGGCAAGACCAAGAUAAUUGCCCAAUGAUUUACCACCCCUAGUACGCGAUAAGUGCUUGGAAAACACCGAAACACAUUAUGAAUUUCGCCGCCGCCUAGUCUCUUGUUUUCUUGUCCUUUGGUGGUAUUAUUGGUUUUGUACGAUAUCUCGUUAAAAAAACGUUUCGCGUCUAAAACCGUUGCUAACCAAUAUAAAUGUUAAUCCGGACGAUUAUUGUUGUUGUACAAUCCCGUCUCGACCACCUUUCACAAAAAACAAUUCGAACAUAAUUUGACGGUCAAUAAUUACACCAAUAGAUUAUCACCACCUAUAACAUGAAGUAAGAGUGUGCAAUUUACUUUUCAUGCUAAUAAGUCUGAGAAAUUUGCACUCUAAGUGUCACUAUAAAUUAAAACGAAAUUAUCGGAGCCCUCGAACAACUAAUAAAUCAUUGAAUCUAAUGCCAUGGAUGCGAAUACCGGUGAUAACACAUACGAGACAAUCAUAAUAGAUACAAUCGAUAACGUCUUAUAGAUACUGCUAAUUGGUGCUAACAGAAAUUUUGAAGAGAGAUGAAUAUUUUUCGAACACGGGGAUCAUAGUAGGAGUAUUACACGCGUGUAUGGUCCAGGACGGUAUUCUUCUGUUAGUAAUAUGAAUACUAAGACUAUUUAUCAAACGAGUCGUGCCUGAGUAAAUUAUCUCAGUUGACAGGUAGUUAUAAUAAACCUAUAACUAGCUGGGGAGACGUGGCAGCUUCGAACUUCGGCCGACGUACCACUUGACUAUCAUUAUCCAAGUGGUUGUUGUGGUUUUUUUUUAAUUGUUUUUUUAUUUGUUCCGACUAGUAAGAUUUACGACACGAAUGCCUUGGACUUUAUGUCGUCUGCCCAAGGGCUGCUGCUGCUGCGUUGUUGCUAUUAUGAGAUGGAGUUACUUUAGAGUAGCCACCGGCAUCAUAACACUCGCAUUAAGCCGACUAUCUCAUUAGAAGUGAAUUCAUCACAUCUAAAACGGUACUUAUAGCCAUGCGAUGAUAGUACAUAAUGAUCGAGACUAAACAAGAAAAACACUGUAAUUGCAUGAUCAAUACCCACUCGACAACUUUUUCAAUAUUAUGAAGACAUCGGAGGCUGAAAUUAUUUAACAAGAUGUGUUCUUAAUUUCGUUUUUAGGUGGGUCGUUCAUUGCAUCGUCCGCUUUCUAUGGCCACUAAUGACUUUAGUGUAGGAACAGCAAAUACACUUGACGUCGUAUAGUGUGUUGCCAUUUGAGUGCACUUUUUGAUUUUGGAAAAUAACAACUGACAAUGAAUGUAUUAAUAAUUAAAACCAUGGGCAACAUGUACAAAUUGAAAAUCUCACGUUGUGCUGUAAAAACCGUAAAUUCUUCGCAAGUAAAUAUUUAACUCAAAUGUCCUUUAAAUUUAUAUUGAACAAUUGGAUA